rnacentral:lncRNA from 1 species
UUCCAGCCAGAAUAACCUUUGUCAUUGUGCAACAGAAGUGUGUUUUUGUUUGCAGUGACGGAGACUCUGGCCUGCUUUGAAGAAGAUGCUCGACGCUUCUUAUUCCCAGAGCCCAAACUGGUUCCCUGCUCCUCUGGAGUGGAUCGAGAGGUUCUGAUGACCCGAGCACCUCACUUUCGAAGGCCAGUGAUAAAGAGGAGCAGGAAACACUCCAGCAGACCCAGGAGCUCUUCUCCUCAGGGGAAACAACCUCAAACUCUUGGAAUGAGACGAGGUGGCAGGACGUGCACAGAAAGACGCAGCAGCGCCUGGUCACCUUCUUACAUUCCCAGACCCCAUUCCCUGUCCCCUCUAAGAGCUGGAAACACACAGAGGAAACACUCUACAGCUCCCGGCCCAGCAGACUGGGACACUCGCCACACCUCUCAGCCUAUGCUGGCUUCGUGGCCUGGAGCCAGUCGUACUGCCACUCGUUCUGCCUCUUCAGUGUUUAUCAACUCCUCUUCACCUUUGACCAGGUCUUCAUUCAGAGUGAGAUAUUCUCCAACUGUCAGAAGAAAAUCUUUAUCCAAUGGUUUGGUUGGAGGGAUGUCAGAAGACGACUCCAGCUCUUCAGAAAUGCAUGACCCCAUUGACAAACACCAAGUUCCUGACCCUUCAAGGCUGUGGCGGUCUUAUAGGGAACAGGCCAGGCACAGCAGGUCUCAGUCCAGCUCUCACAGAGAAUGGGAAGAGGUCCAAGAGCGUGUUCGGGGACUCCUUACAACACCAAAAGCUGUACGCCGACUUGUCUAUGGGGCCACACACUGCGAGAUAGAUGAGGUUUUAGCCAGGAGGUCCUUCUCUCCGGGUCCACCGUGAUGACCUGUCCCCAGGCUCUGGAAAAGUGACGUGGACUUGUUCUAUCUCCAUGAGUUUCACAUUUUACAUUUUAAAACGCUGCCUCAUUGAGACAAUUAAAAUGCAACAUUUUAAUAUUCAUUUGAUUCUGGUUAGAGACCUUUUCUGGGAACUAUACAAUAAGGCAAACAAUAAAAAAUAAAAAAUGUCUUGAUACAAAAAUUGUAACCGUGUAUUCUGUCAUUCUGCCAUUAUAGAUG